UGAGGAAUAUUGGACAAUGGAGGCAACUCUGAUCCAGCCAUGCCGCGUGCAGGAAGACGGCCCUAUGGGUUGUAAACUGCUUUUAUACAGGAAGAAACGUUAGUACGUGUACUAGCCUGACGGUACUGUAAGAAUAAGGAUCGGCUAACUCCGUGCCAGCAGCCGCGGUAAUACGGAGGAUCCAAGCGUUAUCCGGAAUCAUUGGGUUUAAAGGGUCCGCAGGCGGUCUAUUAAGUCAGAGGUGAAAUCCUAUCGCUCAACGAUAGAACUGCCUUUGAUACUGGUAGACUUGAGUUAUUGUGAAGUAGUUAGAAUGUGUAGUGUAGCGGUGAAAUGCAUAGAUAUUACAC
rnacentral:rRNA from 1 species